AUUGAACGCUGGCGGCAUGCCUUACACAUGCAAGUCGAACGGCAGCACGGGAGCAAUCCUGGUGGCGAGUGGCGAACGGGUGAGUAAUAUAUCGGAACGUGCCCAGUCGUGGGGGAUAACGCAGCGAAAGUUGUGCUAAUACCGCAUACGAUCUAUGGAUGAAAGCGGGGGAUCGCAAGACCUCGCGCGAUUGGAGCGGCCGAUAUCAGAUUAGCUAGUUGGUGGGGUAAAAGCCCACCAAGGCGACGAUCUGUAGCUGGUCUGAGAGGACGACCAGCCACACUGGAACUGAGACACGGUCCAGACUCCUACGGGAGGCAGCAGUGGGGAAUUUUGGACAAUGGGCGCAAGCCUGAUCCAGCAAUGCCGCGUGCAGGAUGAAGGCCUUCGGGUUGUAAACUGCUUUUGUACGGAACGAAACGGUSMKUUCUAAUACARKGGGCUAAUGACGGUACCGUAAGAAUAAGCACCGGCUAACUACGUG
rnacentral:rRNA from 1 species